AUUGAACGCUGGCGGCAGGCCUAACACAUGCAAGUCGAACGAGUGGCGGACGGGUGAGUAAUGUCUGGGAAACUGCCUGAUGGAGGGGGAUAACUACUUGAAACGGUAGCUAAUACCGCAUACCAUCGGAUGUGCCCAGAUGGGAUGAUCUAGUAGGUGGGGUAACGGCUCACCUAGGCGACGAUCCCUAGCUGGUCUGAGAGGAUGACCAGCCACCCUGGAACUGAGACACGGUCCCGCCUCCUACGGGAGGCCGCAUUGGGGAAUAUUGCACAAUGGGCGAAAGCCUGAUGCAGACAUGCCGCGUGUAUGAAGAAGGCCUUCGGGUUGUAAAGUACUUUCAGCGGGGAGGCGUUACCCGCAGAAGAAGCACCGGCUAACUCCGUGCCAGCAGCCGCGGUAAUUC
rnacentral:rRNA from 1 species